rnacentral:rRNA from 1 species
AACGAACGCUGGCGGCAUGCCUAACACAUGCAAGUCGAACGAGACCUUCGGGUCUAGUGGCGCACGGGUGCGUAACGCGUGGGAACCUGCCCUUAGGUUCGGAAUAACUCCCCGAAAGGGGUGCUAAUACCGGAUAAUGUCUUCGGACCAAAGAUUUAUCGCCUUUGGAUGGGCCCGCGUUGGAUUAGCUAGUUGGUAGGGAAAAAGCCUACCAAGGCGACGAUCCAUAGCUGGUCUGAGAGGAUGAUCAGCCACACUGGGACUGAGACACGGCCCAGACUCCUACGAGAGGCAGCAGUGGGGAAUAUUGGACAAUGGGAGAGAGCCUGAGCCAGCUAUGCCGCGUGAGUGAUGAAGGCCUUAGGGUUGUAAAGCUCUUUUACCCGGGAUGAUAAUGACAGUACCGGGAGAAUAAGCUCCGGCUAACUCCGUG